rnacentral:rRNA from 1 species
AAGUCGAACGCACUCUCGUUUAGAUUGAAGGAGCUUGCUCCUGAUUGAUAAACAUUUGAGUGAGUGGCGGACGGGUGAGUAACACGUGGGUAACCUGCCCUAAAGUGGGGGAUAACAUUUGGAAACAGAUGCUAAUACCGCAUAAAACCUAACACCGCAUGGUGUAGGGUUGAAAGAUGGUUUCGGCUAUCACUUUAGGAUGGACCCGCGGUGCAUUAGUUAGUUGGUGAGGUAAAGGCUCACCAAGACCGUGAUGCAUAGCCGACCUGAGAGGGUAAUCGGCCACACUGGGACUGAGACACGGCCCAGACUCCUACGGGAGGCAGCAGUAGGGAAUCUUCCACAAUGGACGAAAGUCUGAUGGAGCAACGCCGCGUGAGUGAAGAAGGUUUUCGGAUCGUAAAACUCUGUUGUUGGAGAAGAAUGUAUCUGAUAGUAACUGAUCAGGUAGUGACGGUAUCCAACCAGA